rnacentral:snoRNA from 1 species
UUGCUGUGAUGACCAUCUUGGCACACCUUUGGAACACCCGUGAAAAAAAUAAGUUAUUUCUGAGCAAC